GUGCUCGCUUCAGCAGCACAUAUACUAAAAUUGAAACGAUAGAGAAAUUAGCAUGGCCCCUGAGCAAGGAUGACAUGCAAAUUCAUGAAGCAUUUCAUAUUUUU